UACGAAGGGUGCUAGCGUUGUUCGGAAUUACUGGGCGUAAAGCGCGCGUAGGCGGCUUUUCAAGUCAGGGGUGAAAUCCCACAGCUCAACUGUGGAACUGCCUUUGAAACUGUAAAGCUUGAGUGUCGGAGGGGAUAGCGGAAUUGCUAAUGUAGAGGUGAAAUUCGUAGAUAUUAGCAGGAACACCGGUGGCGAAGGCGGCUAUCUGGACGACAACUGACGCUGAGGCGCGAAAGCGUGGGGAUCAAACAGG
rnacentral:rRNA from 1 species